GGGGGGGGGGUGUUUGUGACCCUAGGAUUGGUGGAAUUGGAUGCUGAUGACCUCCAACUGGUAGCCAGAAAUCCACUCUGAGGCUUGAACAGUCAGCCUUGGCAGUCUACACCGACCGCGAGAUUGCCUUUAAGUUGCAGUACCAGAACAGCUGGAGGGCCACAGCGCUGGAACGAAGAUGCUCGUGAUUCCCUGUAGUAGUAAUACUUACCCAGUGCUCACUGGGGGCAACACACUGAACUUCCAAGAGCUUGGGAAAUGAAAACCGAAGCAGCGACAUGUUCCCUGCCCACCGGGAGCUCCGCUGUGACCGACAGAGCAACUAGAGCUGGGAAACAUCUGGGAUAACCUCUACUGGGAGCCCGAGCCCCAAACUCACCAGCAGGUACUUUCUGGCAGGUGCCUAGGCCUGCUUUCUGAAACGCUCUGAACAGCUGUUGUUUGACAGACUGGUACGUCUGUGCCACCAGCUUUGCCUCGCAGUAUACCGAUGGCGUAUCUCCACGGCUUGGUAUCCGGGUGCUCAGCUGCGGAACAGAAACCAGAGAGAGCAAAUAAACCAGCAGCAGAAAUGGGAGACUCGGAGCGCGGUAAUCUCCAACAGGCAUUGCAUAAGCACCAGUCUGGCUCUGAGCGCUGGAUAUUUGCUCUGAGUUUUGAAUGCCCCAAACUCCAAAGAAAAACAUUCCCAAGCACUGAUGCCAGUCACGCAGAUUCGGAGGAAGACACAGUAACGAAAGGAGCGCAACCCAAGUGUCUGAUUUUGAAUGACUAACAAAAUCGAUGACCUCCACCGCCCUGCCCUUAACUCCGAGGAAAUGCGGCAGCAAGGCACGAUGCUACAUGGAAGAAAUCAAAGGUUGGAAAAACGUGCAAGACUGUGAGGGUCCAGAACAGGGAGCAUACAAGUAAAAAUGACAAUUUACAGGAGGACAGCACAUCCUUAGGGACCCAGAGGCAAGGCUCAGGGGACACAUACUGUCUGUCGGUCUGUCUGGUACAGAAGAAAAUGUGACUUGGAAGGACCCGUCUUAUAGUUUCCUAGACCUCUUUCUGUUUCCCACACAGAAAGCAAUUCCUUCUCUCUCUGUCUCCCACUUUUGCAGGUUCAAAUUCUAGGUCACCCCUGAGGAGAGCAAGACUCGGUUAGGAACUGAACAGCGAUAUUAUGACUGACAGAGUCCAUCAUGUCAGGGCACAGAAGCAGCAGCGGCAGGGAGCCUAGUCCCCGUGGACUUGCCACUUGGGUGAGGUCCUGAGAGGUUCACCUCUGAGGUGCCUCUGCCUCUUCUCGUGCCCUUAGGAAAAUGUCCCCGUCAGGAAAAAUUGGAGUGACAGAAUUGGCCCACCUGAAAGAGAUGUCGGGUAGAUUAACUUACUGAACAGGCCGACUGAACAUCGAGCCCGACUGCAUAGAGCGGGGCCUACCUUGCCGUAGAGUUUCAUCCACCGGGCAGAGAACGUGUGCUUGCAGAGCCUCGAUGAUUUCCCACAACUUCUCUUCCCCGUCGUGGCGUUAAUAACCUCCAGGUCCGCACUGCCCACAAUCCAGUUCACACUGAACUGGGGGGACUUUCCAGGAUGGCGCACCUCCGCGUGGCUCACCCCUGUCAGAAGACCGACGACACAAGACCGUUAAUCAACCCGGCCCUCAGCUGACCUCCUGGAAGUCGCCACUUAUUUGCAACGACAUGCGAUGUUUUGGUCACUCUAGAUGCCGUUCCAUGUGUGUAAUGCUUCGUAAGUGAAUAAUUAUCGAGCCUGUUAGAUUUCUUUACAGAGGGAGCCUACCAGCCAUUUUGGCAGCUUAGCAGUUAGGAGCAGAAACCUGAAUGGCGUAAGAGAAUUUUGAACGUUACAUGGUACAAGCAGCAGUGGUAAGAGGAGCCCUUGCAAAAAUUCUUUAGGUAGACAGAGAAGAUAGUAGUACUGUGUGAUGUGACUCUUCCUAACUCCUGUCGGAAUCCCAGCCCACACAAGAGGAAACACCAGUGUUUCUGCCAAAGCAGCAGGGGGCAAGCAGAAGCCAAAGUUUGGAAAAAAUAAAAAUAUAAUGAAAACCAUCCAGGAAAGUAA